CUGAGUUUGACCUUGAUCUGC
rnacentral:siRNA from 1 species